AUUGAACGCUGGCGGAAUGCUUUACACAUGCAAGUCGAACGGCAGCACGGGGGCAACCCUGGUGGCGAGUGGCGAACGGGUGAGUAAUACAUCGGAACGUGCCCAGUCGUGGGGGAUAACGUAGCGAAAGUUACGCUAAUACCGCAUACGAUCUAUGGAUGAAAGCGGGGGACCGUAAGGCCUCGCGCGAUUGGAGCGGCCGAUGUCGGAUUAGGUAGUUGGUGGGGUAAAGGCCCAGCAAGCCGGCGAUCUGUAGCUGGUCUAAACGGACGACCAACCACACUGUGACGGAGACACGGCCCAGACUCCUACGGGAGGCAGCAGUGGAGAAUUUUGGACAAUGGGCGCAAGCCUGAUCCAGCCAUGCCGCGUGCAGGUCGAAGGCCUUCGGGUUGUAAAGUGCUGUUGUACGGAACGAAAAGGUCCUGAUUAAUACCCGGGGCUCAUGACGGUACCGUAAGAAUAAGCACCGGCUAACUACGUGCCAGCAGCCGCGGUAA
rnacentral:rRNA from 1 species